rnacentral:rRNA from 1 species
UACGUAGGGUGCAAGCGUUGUCCGGAAUUAUUGGGCGUAAAGAGCUUGUAGGCGGUUUGUCGCGUCUGCUGUGAAAUUUCGGGGCUCAACCCCGAACUUGCAGUGGGUACGGGCAGACUAGAGUGUGGUAGGGGAGACUGGAAUUCCUGGUGUAGCGGUGAAAUGCGCAGAUAUCAGGAGGAACACCGGUGGCGAAGGCGCCACUCUGGGCCGAAACUGACGCUGAGGAGCGAAAGCGUGGGUAGCAAACAGG